rfam:Heterocephalus glaber contig166415, whole genome shotgun sequence.
AGCUCUAUAGGGGUCUAACUUAUUUCCUAACCUUUUCUAUAGAAAGCUAUUUGGUGUUAUUAAAUGGUCAUUUUCUCCUUCAUGCU